UGCUUAACGAUAGGCAGCGGCUUGGCUC
rnacentral:sRNA from 1 species